GAUGAACGCUGGCGGCGUGCUUAACACAUGCAAGUCGAACGAGAAAUGUAGACGGAAACCUUCGGGCGGAAGCCUUCAUUUCGAGUGGCGGACGGGUGAGUAACGCGUGGGUAACCUGCCUCAUACAGGGGGAUAACAGUUGGAAACGACUGUUAAUACCGCAUAAGACCACAGCAUCGCAUGAUGCGGGGGUAAAAACUCCGGUGGUAUGAGAUGGGCCCGCGUUCGAUUAGCCAGUUGGCGGGGUAACGGCCCACCAAAGCGACGAUCGAUAGCCGAUCUGAGAGGAUGACCGGCCACAUUGGGACUGAGACACGGCCCAAACUCCUACGGGAGGCAGCAGUGGGGAAUAUUGCACAAUGGGGGAAACCCUGAUGCAGCGACGCCGCGUGAGUGAAGAAGUACUUCGGUAUGUAAAGCUCUAUCAGCAGGGAAGAAAAUGACGGUACCUGAGUAAGAAGCCCCGGCUAACUACGUG
rnacentral:rRNA from 1 species